CGAACGCCGCACAGGUGCGGGCGGGGUGUCGCACCUGCCGCUCGGAGCUGAUCCUAACCACCUGGGCAGAGGAUGGGCGAAAGUGCAAUGGAGACGAGAAAAGAGGGAAGAAAAGUAACUGGAAAGUUAAAAGGAGAGAGGGCUGACAGAUGAAGUGACCAAAGCUCGGGCAGCUGACAUUGGCUCUGAGAUGGAACUAUACAUCAGCAUCAAGAACAGACGAAAAUGCCUCAGAUAUCCUUCUCUCAUGAAGUCUUCCUACAGGACUUAGAGUUGCUCAGCAGUAGUGCAGUAACCUAGCAUUUGUAAAGUCGUGGGGUGGAUUUCAGGAAGAGUCCACAUGGGGAUAAGCAUAUAGCAAGGAGAUGCAACAGCCCUGAGGACCUGAGUUGUCUCAGCAACUAUAUGAGUGACCUUUGAGGCGGAUUCACUGCUAGAUCCUCCUUCAGAUGAGACCCUGGCCCUAGCUGACACUAUGACAUCAGCUGUAAAGGCACUCUGAAGCAGAGGAUCCCCGAAGCUGUGCAUAAACUUGGGGAAAACAUCACCACUGGAGCUAUGAGAGCACCGGCUCUUCUUCCAGAGGACCUAGGCUUAGUUCUCAGCACUUACAAUGGACAGUUACUGACUGUCUGUGACCCCGGUUCCAGAACAUCUGAAACCCUCUCCUGAUCUUGGAUGCACCUAUACAGACACACACACAAAUCAAAACAACUUAGAUACCCCUCAACUGAGGAAUGGAUAAAGAAAAUGUGGUACAUUUACACAAUGGAGUACUACUCAUCAGUUAAAAAAAAAAUGACAUCUUGAAAAUUGCAGGCAAAUGGAUGGAACUAGGAAAAAACCCAUCCUGAG
rnacentral:lncRNA from 1 species